rnacentral:rRNA from 1 species
UACGUAGGGUGCAAGCGUUAAUCGGAAUUACUGGGCGUAAAGCGUGCGCAGGCGGCUAUGCAAGACAGAUGGGAAAUCCCCGGGCUCAACCUGGGAACUGCAUUUGUGACUGCAUGGCUAGAGUACGGCAGAGGGGGAUGGAAUUCCGCGUGUAGCAGUGAAAUGCGUAGAUAUGCGGAGGAACACCGAUGGCGAAGGCAAUCCCCUGGGCCUGUACUGACGCUCAUGCACGAAAGCGUGGGGAGCAAACAGG